rnacentral:rRNA from 1 species
UACGUAGGGUCCGAGCGUUGUCCGGAAUUAUUGGGCGUAAAGGGCUCGUAGGCGGUCCGUCACGUCGGGAGUGAAAACUCAGGGCUCAACCCUGAGCGUGCUUCCGAUACGGGCGGACUAGAGGUAUGCAGGGGAGAACGGAAUUCCUGGUGUAGCGGUGGAAUGCGCAGAUAUCAGGAGGAACACCGGUGGCGAAGGCGGUUCUCUGGGCAUGACCUGACGCUGAGGAGCGGAAGCAUGGGGAGCGAACAGG